rnacentral:rRNA from 1 species
AGAGUUUGAUCAUGGCUCAGGACGAACGCUGGCGGCGUGCCUAAUACAUGCAAGUAGAACGCUGAAGAGAGGAGCUUGCUCUUCUUGGAUGAGUUGCGAACGGGUGAGUAACGCGUAGGUAACCUGCCUUGUAGCGGGGGAUAACUAUUGGAAACGAUAGCUAAUACCGCAUAACAAUGGAUGACCCAUGUCAUUUAUUUGAAAGGGGCAAAUGCUCCACUACAAGAUGGACCUGCGUUGUAUUAGCUAGUAGGUGAGGUAACGGCUCACCUAGGCGACGAUACAUAGCCGACCUGAGAGGGUGAUCGGCCACACUGGGACUGAGACACGGCCCAGACUCCUACGGGAGGCAGCAGUAGGGAAUCUUCGGCAAUGGGGGCAACCCUGACCGAGCAACGCCGCGUGAGUGAAGAAGGUUUUCGGAUCGUAAAGCUCUGUUGUAAGUCAAGAACGAGUGUGAGAGUGGAAAGUUCACACUGUGACGGUAGCUUACCAGAAAGGGACGGCUAACUACGUGCCAGCAGCCGCGGUAAUACGUAGGUCCCGAGCGUUGUCCGGAUUUAUUGGGCGUAAAGCGAGCGCAGGCGGUUUGAUAAGUCUGAAGUUAAAGGCUGUGGCUCAACCAUAGUUCGCUUUGGAAACUGUCAAACUUGAGUGCAGAAGGGGAGAGUGGAAUUCCAUGUGUAGCGGUGAAAUGCGUAGAUAUAUGGAGGAACACCGGUGGCGAAAGCGGCUCUCUGGUCUGUAACUGACGCUGAGGCUCGAAAGCGUGGGGAGCGAACAGGAUUAGAUACCCUGGUAGUCCACGCCGUAAACGAUGAGUGCUAGGUGUUGGAUCCUUUCCGGGAUUCAGUGCCGCAGCUAACGCAUUAAGCACUCCGCCUGGGGAGUACGACCGCAAGGUUGAAACUCAAAGGAAUUGACGGGGGCCCGCACAAGCGGUGGAGCAUGUGGUUUAAUUCGAAGCAAUGCGAAGAACCUUACCAGGUCUUGACAUCCCGAUGCUAUUUCUAGAGAUAGAAAGUUACUUCGGUACAUCGGUGACAGGUGGUGCAUGGUUGUCGUCAGCUCGUGUCGUGAGAUGUUGGGUUAAGUCCCGCAACGAGCGCAACCCCUAUUGUUAGUUGCCAUCAUUCAGUUGGGCACUCUAGCGAGACUGCCGGUAAUAAACCGGAGGAAGGUGGGGAUGACGUCAAAUCAUCAUGCCCCUUAUGACCUGGGCUACACACGUGCUACAAUGGUUGGUACAACGAGUUGCGAGUCGGUGACGGCAAGCUAUCUCUUAAAGCCAAUCUCAGUUCGGAUUGUAGGCUGCAACUCGCCUACAUGAAGUCGGAAUCGCUAGUAAUCGCGGAUCAGCACGCCGCGGUGAAUACGUUCCCGGGCCUUGUACACACCGCCCGUCACACCACGAGAGUUUGUAACACCCGAAGUCGGUGAGGUAACCUUUUGGAGCCAGCCGCCUAAGGUGGGAUAGAUGAUUGGGGUGAAGUCGUAACAAGGUA